rnacentral:rRNA from 1 species
UGGAUCCAGACUUUGAUCCUGGCUCAGGACGAACACUGGCGGCGUGCCUAACACAUGCAAGUCGAACGGAACUUUUUCAGAAGAUUCUUUCGGGAUGAUUUUGGUUAAGUUUAGUGGCGGACGGGUGAGUAACGCGUGAGUAACCUGCCUUUGAGAGGGGAAUAACAAUCUGAAAAGAUCGCUAAUACCGCAUAACAUAUACGAAUCGCAUGGUUUGUAUAUCAAAGAUUUUAUCGCUCAAAGAUGGACUCGCGUCCGAUUAGUUAGUUGGUGAGGUAACGGCUCACCAAGACCGCGAUCGGUAGCCGGACUGAGAGGUUGAACGGCCACAUUGGGACUGAGACACGGCCCAGACUCCUACGGGAGGCAGCAGUGGGGGAUAUUGCGCAAUGGGGGCAACCCUGACGCAGCAACGCCGCGUGAAGGAUGAAGGUUUUCGGAUUGUAAACUUCUUUUAUUAAGGACGAAUAAUGACGGUACUUAAUGAAUAAGCUCCGGCUAACUACGUGCCAGCAGCCGCGGUAAUACGUAGGGAGCAAGCGUUGUCCGGAUUUACUGGGUGUAAAGGGUGCGUAGGCGGCUUUGCAAGUCAGAUGUGAAAUCUAUGGGCUCAACCCAUAAACUGCAUUUGAAACUGUAGAGCUUGAGUGAAGUAGAGGCAGGCGGAAUUCCCCGUGUAGCGGUGAAAUGCGUAGAGAUGGGGAGGAACACCAGUGGCGAAGGCGGCCUGCUGGGCUUUAACUGACGCUGAGGCACGAAAGCGUGGGUAGCAAACAGGAUUAGAUACCCUGGUAGUCCACGCUGUAAACGAUGAUUACUAGGUGUGGGGGGUCUGACCCCUUCCGUGCCGGAGUUAACACAAUAAGUAAUCCACCUGGGGAGUACGGCCGCAAGGUUGCAACUCAAAUGAAUUGACGGA